rnacentral:rRNA from 1 species
AUUCUGGUGUCCUAGGCGUAGAGGAACCACACCAAUCCAUCCCGAAUUUGGUGGUUAAACUCUACUGCGGUGACGAUACUGUAGGGGAGGUCCUACGGAAAAAUAGCUCGACGCCAGAAUGAUAAAAAGCUUAAGACCUC